rnacentral:rRNA from 1 species
UACUAACUGAAAUCUUAAGCAUUUAACCAUGGUACUUGAGAUAACGUAAGGGAAAAAAAUGAUAGUACCUUACUAUAAGUGUUGUCCAACAUUACUGGUGCCAGAAACUCGGUAACGCCAGAAACGCAAACGUUAGUCGUCCUAAUCAGGCGUAAAGGGUAAGUAGGCUGCUUUGAAAGUUAUUAAUUAGAAAGCUCCAGUAGGCGGGUCUGCUACAAAGCUCAAUCAAUUGACUGAGGGGAGGUGAAUCUGCAACUGGUAAUUAAUAAUGAAUUAAAGCUAGAAUCAAAAAGAGGAUAAGCCAAAUAAUGUUUAGAGUAGGUAUGAAAUCCGUAGAUACUAAAUGGAAUACUAAUGGUGAAAACUUUUAUCUAAUAAUGAUUGACGCUGAGGAACGAAGGUGAGAAUAGAAAAUAGGAUUAGAGACCCAGAUAUCUCUCACUGUCAACGAUGAAUGGUGGUUGUUAGUUUUAAAUAAACUAGUAACGAUGUUAACGCGAUAACCAUUCCGCUUGCGAGUACGGUUGCAAAACUGAAACCAAAAAAAUUAGUCGCUCGGAGCAAACGAAUGAG